rnacentral:rRNA from 1 species
UAGUGCCGCAGCUAACGCAUUAAGCACUCCGCCUGGGGAGUACGACCGCAAGGUUGAAACUCAAAGGAAUUGACGGGGGCCCGCACAAGCGGUGGAGCAUGUGGUUUAAUUCGAAGCAACGCGAAGAACCUUACCAGGUCUUGACAUCCCGAUGCCCGCUCUAGAGAUAGAGCUUUACUUCGGUACAUCGGUGACAGGUGGUGCAUGGUUGUCGUCAGCUCGUGUCGUGAGAUGUUGGGUUAAGUCCCGCAACGAGCGCAACCCUUAUUGUUAGUUGCCAUCAUUCAGUUGGGCACUCUAGCGAGACUGCCGGUAAUAAACCGGAGGAAGGUGGGGAUGACGUCAAAUCAUCAUGCCCCUUAUGACCUGGGCUACACACGUGCUACAAUGGCUGGUACAACGAGUCGCAAGCCGGUGACGGCAAGCUAAUCUCUGAAAGCCAGUCUCAGUUCGGAUUGUAGGCUGCAACUCGCCUACAUGAAGUCGGAAUCGCUAGUAAUCGCGGAUCAGCACGCCGCGGUGAAUACGUU